rnacentral:rRNA from 1 species
AGUGAACGCUGGCGGCAUGCCUAACACAUGCAAGUCGAACGGCAGCACAGUGAGCGCUUGCUCCUACGGUUGGCGACGGGCGGGUGAGUGAGGCAUACAUCGCCUUCCACUUUUUCUUGGGUGAGAACGUAGGGACACAUCCGCUAAUAGCGCAUAUGUCCUACGGGAUGGAGCAGUGGUUCUUCGGACCUUGCGUGAUUGAAUGAGCUGAUGUCGGAUUAGCUAGUUGGCGGGGUAAAGGCACACCAAGGCGACGAUGCGUAGCUGAUCUGAGAGGAUGAUCGGCCACACUGGAACUGAGACACGGUCCAGACUCCUACGGGAGGCAGCAGUGGGGAAUAUUGGCCAAUGGGCGCAAGCCUGAUCCAGCCAUGCCGCGUGGGUGAAGAAGGCCUUCGGGGUGUAAAGCCCUGUUGUUGGGGAAGAAAAGUAGCGGGAGAAACCACGGCUGUUCUGACGGUACCUAAAGAAUAAGCACCGGCUAACUACGUG